rnacentral:rRNA from 1 species
CAGCCUGAUGCAGCCAUGCCGCGUGUGUGAAGAAGGCCUUCGGGUUGUAAAGCACUUUCAGUCAGGAGGAAAGGUUAGUAGUUAAUACCUGCUAGCUGUGACGUUACUGACAGAAGAAGCACCGGCUAACUCCGUGCCAGCAGCCGCGGUAAUACGGAGGGUGCGAGCGUUAAUCGGAAUUACUGGGCGUAAAGCGUACGCAGGCGGUUUGUUAAGCGAGAUGUGAAAGCCCCGGGCUCAACCUGGGAACUGCAUUUCGAACUGGCAAACUAGAGUGUGAUAGAGGGUGGUAGAAUUUCAGGUGUAGCGGUGAAAUGCGUAGAGAUCUGAAGGAAUACCGAUGGCGAAGGCAGCCACCUGGGUCAACACUGACGCUCAUGUACGAAAGCGUGGGGAGCAAACAGGAUUAGAUACCCUGGUAGUCCACGCCGUAAACGAUGUCUACUAGAAGCUCGGAGCCUCGGCUCUGUUUUUCAAAGCUAACGCAUUAAGUAGACCGCCUGGGGAGUACGGCCGCAAGGUUAAAACUCA